rnacentral:rRNA from 1 species
GACGAACGCUGGCGGCGUGCUUAACACAUGCAAGUCGAGCGGUAAGGCCCUUUCGGGGGUACACGAGCGGCGAACGGGUGAGUAACACGUGGGUGACCUGCCCUCAGCUCUGGGAUAAGCCCGGGAAACUGGGUCUAAUACCGGAUAUGACUCCACGGUGCAUGUCGUGGGGUGGAAAGCCUUGUGCGGCUGAGGAUGGGCCCGCGGCCUAUCAGCUUGUUGGUGGGGUGAUGGCCACCAAGGCGACGACGGGUAGCCGGCCUGAGAGGGCGACCGGCCACACUGGGACUGAGACACGGCCCAGACUCCUACGGGAGGCAGCAGUGGGGAAUCUUGCGCAGUGGGCGAAAGCCUGACGCAGCGACGCCGCGUGAGGGAUGACGGCCUCGG